ACUUAAAUAGUAUAAUAUAUUAUAUUUGAUUUCCAAUCAAAUGAUCUUAAAAAAGUUUGAGUA
rnacentral:tRNA from 1 species